UCAGGAUGCUAUUAUUCAAUCGGCAAGGCAUUUACUACAUUUGUUGACUGAAAGACCACGAAGGGGAGGGAGAGGAGAGCUCACCAAUCAGAAUGCCAGGGUACCUCAAACUCAACCCUCGGUCCAGAUGGAAAUGAGCAGAUCUUUUCCCGGACUUUUCAACAGGGGAAGAGGAAAACGACGAUUUCCUCCAACAAGCCUGGUCCCGGUGAAAAAGAUGAAACCUUUAGAUCUGGGUGAGACGCUUAAAGUUCUUUUUCCAAAGCUGGGAACUAUUACAGGGGGUUGGCUGCUUUACAAAUCUGCAGGUGGAUGGGGCAGACGCAAUUUGACAUUGAUUGCUCCUGAAGAUGAUGGGUAUACCGGGACAAUGUUGAAGGCUGCGAGUCGCUGCGGGAAAACCCUGUUCAUAGUCCCUAUUCAGGAACAACUUUGCACGGAUCCUCUUGAGCUGAAUGACGUGGCAUUUGCAAACAUGCCAAAGGCCAUGUGUCAGAAAUGCAGAGAAGAUGUUCCCUUGCAGUUUUUGACUGACCACAUACAGUCUUGUGUGGAAACAGACUUGCCCUCUGAUGUGGCUGGUGUGGAUGUUUGUGACCCUGCAACGGACAUAUCAGCAAUGCAAGAGUGUCCGGUGUGUGCAGAAACAUUUCCUACUGAGGACAUUGAAGUUCAUGCUUCUUCUUGUGGAGAAAUGUAUGUAUUUGUCAUGCCAGUGAAUGCUGUGACAGGUAUUAGUGUAUACUUUUUUUUUCUUUAGGAAUGUAGGUAGGGGUAUAUGUGUUUUUGUGAGUAGAGCAUUGUCAGGUUCAGAAACCUAAAACAUCUAUAAAAUACAGACAAGAGAAGGUAGGAGACGGGAUUAAUUUUUAGCUCACACAGGGAGCAAACGGGGAAGAGUUUCUUAGAUACAAUUCUCUACUUCUCUAAGUCUCUUCCUGUUUUCUUCCUCAUUUUAUUUUAUUAACAGUCGGGUGUGCCCUAACUACACGUGCUAUCAACUGCCUGAGGGAUGGGGAAAUGUAAAGUCUGAGGCAUAUUUCAGUUAACACACGUCAAGUCAACCCAAAAAAAAAAAAACAUCAUAUGGGAUGGGCCACGUUCAUCAGGAUACAGGCAGAUGAUGUCUGGUUGCAGUAUCUGUUUUCUGAUCCGCUGCUCUCUCUAUCAGC